AGAGACUGGGCCGCUCCGCCUGCUGCUCAGACCUGCUCUCCUGUAGUCAUACCUCGGAGCAGCUGCAGCGACUGGCCACAGGCUGCCCACCGCGACCAAAGCAUGUCAAGCCCUUCUCCUCCUCGGACAGCCUAGCGAAGGUGCAGGAGGUAGCAAGCUGGCUUUUGGAGAUGAACCAGGAACUGCUGUCGGGGGACAGCAGCAGCAGGCAGAGUCGCAGAGUGGGGGCCCCAGGGGCCCCGGGGGGGCGAGGUAACGCCUCCUCCACGGCCAGGGCUCCCCAGCAGGCAGGGGUCGAUGAGGGAGAUGAGGAUGAGCACAUGAACAGAGUGGAGCUGGAGGAGCAGAGGCCUGCGGCGUCCCAAGUCGACAGUGAGAGAGAACAACCAUGGUCCUCCAACGAAUCUGGCACCAACGGCCCUCGCCCGGAGCCCGAGCAGAGAGAAGAGGAGCGGGCCAGCGAGGUGAACGGGCGUCCCAAAGGAACAGGCCGCUGGUCCUGGAACCCCCAACAGAGGAGACUCAGGGGGCAAGCGCUACCAGAGGAGGAAGAGGAGGAGGAGAACAAUAACUCCAGUCACCUGGAGGAGGAGGAGAGGACCGAGGGUGGGGAGGAGGAGCAGGGGAGAGAAGAAGAGGAGCGAGAGGAGGAGGAAGAGGAGGAUGAAGAGGACAUGGACCAGGACAGUGAUGACUUUGAGCAUUCAGCUGAGAGCGGCCGGGAGGAGGAAGAGGAGGAGGAAGGCCCACCAUCGCCCUCCAUAAGGACCAGUGUGUCUGCUCCCAACAGCCUGGACU
ensembl:lncRNA